AUUGAACGCUGGCGGCAGGCCUAACACAUGCAAGUCGAGCGGAUGAAGGGAGCUUGCUCCUGGAUUCAGCGGCGGACGGGUGAGUAAUGCCUAGGAAUCUGCCUGGUAGUGGGGGAUAACGUCCGGAAACGGGCGCUAAUACCGCAUACGUCCUGAUGGAGAAGGUGGGGGAUCUUCGGACCUCACGCUAUCAGAUGAGCCUAGGUCGGAUUAGCUAGUUGGUAGGGUAAAGGCCUACCAAGCCGACGAUCCGUAACUGGUCUGAGAGGAUGAUCAGUCACACUGGAACUGAGACACGGUCCAGACUCCUACGGGAGGCAGCAGUGGGGAAUAUUGGACAAUGGGCGAAAGCAUGAUCCAGCCAUGCCGCGUGUGUGAAGAAGGUCUUCGGAUUGUAAAGCACUUUAAGUUGGGAGGAAGGGCAGUAAGUUAAUACCUUGCUGUUUUGACGGUACCAACAGAAUAAGCACCGGCUAACUUCGUG
rnacentral:rRNA from 1 species